UACGGGGGGAGCAAGCGUUGUUCGGAAUUAUUGGGCGUAAAGGGUGCGUAGGCGGCCUGACAAGUCUGAUGUGAAAUCCCUGGGCUCAACCCAGGGCCUGCAUCGGAAACUGUCGGGCUUGAGUAUGGGAGAGGUGAGUGGAAUUUCCGGUGUAGCGGUGAAAUGCGUAGAUAUCGGAAGGAACACCUGUGGCGAAAGCGGCUCACUGGACCAUUACUGACGCUGAGGCACGAAAGCUAGGGGAGCAAACAGG
rnacentral:rRNA from 1 species